GACGUAGGGCGCGAGCGUUGUCCGGAUUUAUUGGGCGUAAAGAGCUCGUAGGCGGCUUGUCGCGUCGACUGUGAAAACCCGCGGCUCAACUGUGGGCUUGCAGUCGAUACGGGGCAGGCUGGAGUUCGGUAGGGGAGACUGGAAUUCCUGGUGUAGCGGUGGAAUGCGCAGAUAUCAGGGAGGGAAACACCCGGUGGGCGAAAGGGCGGGGUCUCUGGGGCAGUAAACUGACGCUGGAGGAGCGAAAAGCGUGGGGGAGCGAACAGG
rnacentral:rRNA from 1 species